rnacentral:rRNA from 1 species
GACGAAGGUGGCGAGCGUUGCUCGGAAUCACUGGGCAUAAAGCGCGCGUAGGUGGUCACGCAAGCGAGGGAUGAAAUCCCAUGGCUCACCCAUGGAACGGUUUCUCGAACUGCGUGGCUCGAGGGCGGGAGGGGAGAAUGGAGUUCCCGGUGUAGCGGUGAAAUGCGUAGAUAUCGGGAGGAACGCCGGUGGCGAAAGCGAUUCUCUGGCCCGUUCCUGACACUGAGGCGCGAAAGCUAGGGGAGCAAACAGGAUUAGAAACCCGUGUAGU